AUUGAACGCUGGCGGCAUGCUUUACACAUGCAAGUCGAACGGUAACAGGUUAAGCUGGCGAGUGGCGAACGGGUGAGUAAUGUAUCGGAACGUACCAUUGAGUGGGGGAUAACGUAGCGAAAGUUACGCUAAUACCGCAUAUUCUCUACGGAGGAAAGCAGGGGACCGCAAGGCCUUGCGCUCUUUGAGCGGCUGAUAUCAGAUUAGCUAGGUGGUGGGGUAAAAGCUCACCAAGGCGACGAUCCGUAGCGGGUCUGAGAGGAUGACCCGCCACACUGGAACUGAGACACGGUCCAGACUCCUACGGGAGGCAGCAGUGGGGAAUUUUGGACAAUGGGGGCAACCCUGAUCCAGCCAUGCCGCGUGAGUGAAGAAGGCCUUCGGGUUGUAAAGCUCUUUCGGCCGGGAAAAAAUCGCAUGGGCUAAUAUCCUGUGUGGAUGAUGGUACCGGAAUAAGAAGCACCGGCUAACUACGUGCCAGCAGCCGCCGUAACAC
rnacentral:rRNA from 1 species